rnacentral:lncRNA from 1 species
GCCGAGGCUACUCUCCUGUCCCCAGCCCGCCUGAGGCCGCUGUCUCUGAAAACUCCAGGCUGGUCGUGAUGAGCAGCCUCAGGGGAGGGCUGAGUGGGGACUGAUGAGAAACAGAUGGCUGGACUCAGGAGGCUCUCUUCCCCAUGGCCCUGGACGAGCACCAAGGUGGACCUGCACCCUUCUUGCUUCCAGAACCGUGGGCCGCUGGGCUCUGUAGAGAGGUCUUCCAAGGCCAGGAAGGAGGCAAGGCAACACACUUCCCUUAGCUCUCCCCAGUGCCUCCCACCCCAGGCUGAAGGUGGCAAGAAGCGGGAGGGAAAGCAAGGUCCCCAGGGGGGGUGGUGUCCUCCCAACCAGGUGGGGCAGCUGUCAGGAGAAGGAUUUGUCACUGAAAGUUGACCAAAACAAAAUAGUGGGAGAGGCUCUGCUGUGAUUCCCCAAACUGGAAGCAUCUCCUGGUCUCUCUACUGCUGGACAGUGAGCUACAGGCUUGUGUCAGGCCCAGUAGUGAGAAUGGUGGGAUAUAGCUGUUCAGCCUUAGGACGUUCUCUGAGGGCAGAGGAAGCCAGAACCCCACUCGUGUGGUUCCACUUUUGGAAGGUUCAAAGCCAGGCUGAGAGAUGGCUCUAGGCUGUGGCGAGAUGGGUGCAGGGGCUCCUGGGCACUGGCAAUGCUUUGGCAGCUGGCGCUGGUCAUGCGGCCAGUUCAGUGUGGGGAGCUCAUUGAGCCAUGCACACAGGCGUGUCUGCGUGUGUUCCCAGGGCUGCCCGCUGAGGCCCCUUUGUACCCUCUCAGUCAUGUCCUUCAGGCCCAAAUGCUUUCAAAACCCCUAUGAUGGUGUCAGGUGCUGGGGAGUGGGGUGACCAAACCAGCAGAUGCAGUGGCUUUUGGGAGGCGAACAUCUCAUGACAGGCAAUCCGGACUAUAAAUACACAUAGGUCACCUGUCUAGUGAGGGCCGCUCAGGAGGAGGGCCAGGGGGUGUGAGGCUUCUGUCCUGCACAGGGCUGGGGACAGGGCACUAUGUCUGAAGGGGUAGGGAUGUGGAUGCAGGAGGAGUGUGUAUUGGACCCAUAUCCAGCAAGGACACAGGGACCCAGUGGCUCUUGGGCAGGGGCAGCCAGGCUGUAUUUGUAGUUCCAAGAGAUGGACUGGUGGCUAUGGGUAAUGGUGGUUGAGGACAAGGCUGGGAGGCAGAAGAGUGGGCUGAAGGCCUCCAAGGGCAGGCGAGCAGUGGGAGAAUUAGGUUGUUGGCCAAGGGUGGAAAGAGGUAUGGGUGCAUCUCUGCUGACGGGCAGGUUUUUAGUUUGGGGACAGGGAAUCUUCCCUAAAAAAUGUGGGUGCCCAGAUGACUUUAUAGGUGGGCACUCCCAAACAAGAAAUUAGUCAUCCUCAUUGAUGAAGCUUCACCUGCCCAGAGCCACUUCUGAUAUGGACCUGGUAUCACCCAAUACCAGUGCCAGAAGAGAACAGAGGGAGAAAAGGAAAAAGAGAAAAUGAUGUGCCAGUCUACCUGUGGGCAUAGAUUGAAAAAUCCUGAGUAAGUACUAGACCAAAUCCAGGAGCACCUGAAAUGCAGAAUUUCAUAGCCGUAAGGAUGGGUCCUGCACACUUCCGCCUGCCAGGAGAGCAGGCACAUGUCUCUUCACAGCUCUGUCCCAGUGCUUAGGACAGUGUCUGGCACAUAGUAGGUGCUCAAUGAAUGUAUAUGGAAUAAAUGAAGUUGUAUGUAAAUAAAAGAAGAUUGUAACCCAAGGACAAAGGAAUUUUGAAAUCUGUAAAUAAAGUUCAGUAACAACAGGUGGAAAAUCACAUGAUUAUCUCAAUAGAUGUUGAAAAGUAAUACUAAUAAAUUCCAGUAUCUUUCCUUAAGAACAAAAGAAGUCGCAGCCAUAAAAAAGGAUGAGUUCAUGUCCUUUGUAGGGACAUGGAUGAAGCUGGAAACCAUCAUUCUCAGCAAACUAUCGCAAGGACAAAAAACCAGAUGCUGCAUGUUCUCACUCAUAGGUGGGAAUUGAACAAUGACAACACUUGGACAC